rnacentral:rRNA from 1 species
CCUACGGGCGGCAGCAGUGGGGGAUAUUGCACAAUGGGGGAAACCCUGAUGCAGCGACGCCGCGUGAGUGAAGAAGUAUUUCGGUAUGUACAGCUCUAUCAGCAGGGAAGAAAAUGACAGUACCUGACCAAGAAGCCCCGGCUAACUACGUGCCAGCAGCCGCGGUAAUACGUAGGGGGCAAGCGUUAUCCGGAUUUACUGGGUGUAAAGGGAGCGUAGACGGUUAUGUAAGUCUGGAGUGAAAGGCAGAGGCUCAACUUCUGUACGGCACUGGAUACUUGCGAGCUAGAAUGCGGUAGAGGUAAAGGGAAUUCCUGGUGUAGCGGUGAAAUGCUUAGAUAUCAGGAGGAACAUCGGUGGCGUAAGCGCUUUACUGGGCCGUAAUUGACGCUGAGGAACGAAAGCCAGGGUAGCAAAUGGGAUUAGAUACCCUAGUAGUC